GUAGUUGACUCCGUGGCUCGAGACGACGCUGGCGGCGUGCUUAACACAUGCAAGUCGAACGGAAAGGCCUCUGCUUGCAGAGGUACUCGAGUGGCGAACGGGUGAGUAACACGUGGGUGAUCUGCCUUGCACUUCGGGAUAAGCCUGGGAAACUGGGUCUAAUACCGGAUAGGACCAUGCUUUAGUGUGUGUGGUGGAAAGUUUUUCGGUGCAAGAUGAGCCCGCGGCCUAUCAGCUUGUUGGUGGGGUAAUGGCCUACCAAGGCGACGACGGGUAGCCGGCCUGAGAGGGUGUACGGCCACAUUGGGACUGAGACACGGCCCAGACUCCUACGGGAGGCAGCAGUGGGGAAUAUUGCACAAUGGGCGCAAGCCUGAUGCAGCGACGCCGCGUGGGGGAUGAAGGCCUUCGGGUUGUAAACUCCUUUCGCUAGGGAAGAAGCCUUUUGGUGACGGUACCUGGAUAAGAAGCACCGGCUAACUACGUG
rnacentral:rRNA from 1 species